CCUUGUUCAGACUACGAAGUUAUAACAUGAUACAAGCAACGUGAUAUUCCAAUAUCACGAAACCGUUCACACUGGAUGUUUGGUGAUAUUGCUUGACAGGCAUCGAAGAACCUGCAACCCGGAAACUACGUCGGAACAUAUCGAUUGAACUCCGAUAGGAUCACACCGCAGCAUCCAGAAGAACGACAAGGAAAUUUGGUCAAAGAUUUUAAAUCCCCACUCGGUUGCCCAGCAUGUUCACAAACGCGAGCGGUAUAAUAGAUUGCUGUUCGUCUAUUCCUUGGAUCCUGGAAAUAACUGCUUCUGUCGGGAAUUCAGGAGGAUUCUUCCAGAAAUGCUGUUCAUACUCCCUUGAAUUCCUCAAGUAACUCCUUCUGGGGAUUCCUCAGAAAUUCUUUCCGUAGAUUCCUUCAGGAAAUACCCAUAGAAAUUCCAUACGGGGAUUCCUUCUAAAAUCUCUUCCAGGAAUUGCUUCCGUGGAUUCCACCAAAAGUUCCGUCCGGGGAUUUCACCAAGGAUUCCUUCCGAUGAUUUCGCCAGGAAUUCCAUUCGAGGAUUCCACCAGGGUUUCCUUCAGGGAAUUCCUUCCUGGGAUUCCACCAGGCAUUCAUUCGGGGAUUCCACCAUGAAAUACUUAAGGGGAUUCCACCAGGAAUUCCAUUCGGGGAUUCUAUCAGGAAAUCCAUCGGGGAUUCCUUCAAGAAUGUCUUCGGGUAUUCCACCAGAAAUUACUUCCGGGGAUUUCACCAGCAACCCAACUAACAUUUAUUGUGAAUGUAAACGUCAACAAAGCGUCCUCAAUACGGCUUGAUGCUGAGUUACUGUGUUGUACAUAUAGAUGGAAGCUUCUAUGCAAGCCCUAUACCAAUGAAUCUGGCGAACUUAAUCAGCAUGUAUAUGCUGUGCGAGAAGCUUCUAUGCCACCAAGUCAUACCCAACUAACAUUUAUUGUGAAUGUAAACGUCAACAAAGCGUCCUCAAUACGGCUUGAUGCUGAGUUACUGUGUUGUACAUAUAGAUGGAAGCUUCUAUGCAAGCCCUAUACCAAUGAAUCUGGCGAACUUAAUCAGCAUGUAUAUGCUGUGCGAGAAGCUUCUAUGCCACCAAGUCAUAGCUCUUUUCUCGGCUCCUAUGUAACCACUAACUGAAUAACAUAUUGAGAAGGCGCUUUUUCAGCCUUUUCGCAGUUGUUAAAUAAUAGUUAUACGGCAUCCCCAAAUUAAACGUUUAAAUAUAAUUAGGUUAUGGAUAUCGUGACGCAAUACAUGUGGAACUGGAAUUAUCACUUUUAAAAUUGAAUAAUUAAAGUACUUGCCGCUAUUUGGAAUCGAACUCCCGAUCUCCGUAUCCACUGGUCCCGAUGAUGUCCUCGCUGCCACACUGCUAUAUAUAAAUAACAUAGAAAAUAGCCCGUUUUGUUUUACUCCAGACAAGGCUUCAUAAUUGUGCCACAAGAAACCUUACCCAACUUCAU